rnacentral:rRNA from 1 species
ACGAUGAAGGAGGAGCUUGCUCCUCCGGAUUAGUGGCGAACGGGUGAGUAAUACGUGAGCAAUGUGCCCUUGACUCUGGGAUAAGCGCUGGAAACGGCGUCUAAUACCGGAUACGACCCUCGGAGGCAUCUCCUGAUGGUGGAAAGAACUUCGGUCAAGGAUCAGCUCACGGCCUAUCAGCUAGUUGGUGAGGUAACGGCUCACCAAGGCGACGACGGGUAGCCGGCCUGAGAGGGUGACCGGCCACACUGGGACUGAGACACGGCCCAGACUCCUACGGGAGGCAGCAGUGGGGAAUAUUGCACAAUGGGCGCAAGCCUGAUGCAGCAACGCCGCGUGAGGGACGAAGGCCUUCGGGUUGUAAACCUCUUUUAGCAGGGAAGAAGCGAAAGUGACGGUACCUGCAGAAAAAGCACCGGCUAACUACGUGCCAGCAGCCGCGGUAAUACGUAGGGUGCAAGCGUUGUCCGGAAUUAUUGGGCGUAAAGAGCUCGUAGGCGGUUUGUCGCGUCUGCUGUGAAAACCCGAGGCUCAACCUCGGGCUUGCAGUGGGUACGGGCAGACUAGAGUGCGGUAGGGGAGAUUGGAAUUCCUGGUGUAGCGGUGGAAUGCGCAGAUAUCAGGAGGAACACCGAUGGCGAAGGCAGAUCUCUGGGCCGUAACUGACGCUGAGGAGCGAAAGCAUGGGGAGCAAACAGGCUUAGAUACCCUGGUAGUCCAUGCCGUAAACGUUGGGAACUAGAUGUGGGGACCAUUCCACGGUCUCCGUGUCGUAGCUAACGCAUUAAG